GACCCGCGGUUUUAUUCUAGUUUGCGAACAAUUUAUACGCGUUGCCUAACCGAAACGAUUCGUUUGUAUUUAUCCGGUGUGGCGCCAACCGGCUAGGUAACACGAUUUACCGAUACCGAAACCGACGGAUGUGCCACUGUUGUGGUGCAGGCGGAAACUGUGAAAGUAGGAUACAUAUUUUCGGGUGAUUUUUAAUUUAUAUCUGUACGCAACGAUAAAAAUCGUUGCUAACGAAAAACGGCCG